GAAAUGCCCGUAAAAGACCUUGGGUCGGUAUAACUCUUAAUUGCUGGCUCACAACUUAAAACAAUUUUCACACCUCACCCUUUCAAAAUACCUUCAGAAAAUCACCACUUUGUAUACAUUCAUACUAGAAUCAUUACCGAGUUAUAUUUUUCUAAACAAUUUUCAAAACUAAACGAGAUAAUCACUUUGUAUACAUUCAUACAAGAAUCAUUACAA
rnacentral:lncRNA from 1 species